rnacentral:rRNA from 1 species
UCGAGAAUCAUUCGCAAUGGGCGAAAGCCUGACGGUGCGACGUCGCGUGGAGGAUGAAGGUCUUCGGAUUGUAAACUCCUGUCAUGUGGGAUAAAUGGCCGGGGCACGAAUAGUGCCUCGGAAUGAUAGUACCACAGGAGGAAGGGACGGCUAACUCUGUGCCAGCAGCCGCGGUAAUACAGAGGUCUCGAGCGUUGUUCGGAUUUACUGGGCGUAAAGGGAGCGUAGGCGGUUCGGUAUGUCGAAUGUGAAAGCCCACAACUCAACUGUGGAAAUGCAUUCGAAACUGCCGGGCUAGAGUACUGGAGAGGAGAGCGGAAUUCUUGGUGUAGCGGUGAAAUGCGUAGAUAUCAAGAGGAACACCGGUGGCGAAAGCGGCUCUCUGGACAGAUACUGUCGCUGAGGCUCUAAAGUUAGGGGAGCAAACAG